rnacentral:pre_miRNA from 1 species
UUUCUGUUGCGCCAAGGGCAUAUUCGUAUUCUCUAUGCUCUGUCGCACCAAGAAGAC